rnacentral:rRNA from 1 species
CCAGACUCCUACGGGAGGCAGCAGUGGGGGAUAUUGCACAAUGGGGGAAACCCUGAUGCAGCGACGCCGCGUGUGGGAAGACGGUCUUCUGGAUUGUAAACCACUGUCCCCAGGGACGAAAAUGACGGUACCUGGGGAGGAAGCUCCGGCUAACUACGUGCCAGCAGCCGCGGUAAUACGUAGGGGGCAAGCGUUAUCCGGAUUUAUUGGGUUUAAAGGGUGCGUAGGCGGUCCGGAAAGUCAGCGGUAAAAGCCCGGGGCUCAACCCGGGCGAGCCGUUGAAACUGUCGGACUAGAGACGGCGAGAAGUACGCGGAAUGCGCGGUGUAGCGGUGAAAUGCAUAGAUAUCGCGCAGAACUCCGAUUGCGAAGGCAGCGUACCGGCGCCGGACUGACGCUGAGGCACGAAAGCGUGGGUAUCGAACAGGAUUAGAUACCCUUGUAU